CCUACGGGAGGCUGCAGUGGGGAAUAUUGGACAAUGGGGGGAACCCUGAUCCAGCCAUGCCGCGUGUGUGAAGAAGGCCCUCGGGUUGUAAAGCACUUUCAGUGAGGAAGAACGCCUGGUGGUUAAUACCCAUCAGGAAAGACAUCACUCACAGAAGAAGCACCGGCUAACUCCGUGCCAGCAGCCGCGGUAAUACGGACGGUGCGAGCGUUAAUCGGAAUUACUGGGCGUAAAGCGCGCGUAGGUGGCUUGAUAAGCCGGUUGUGAAAGCCCCGGGCUCAACCUGGGAACGGCAUCCGGAACUGUCAAGCUAGAGUGCAGGAGAGGAAGGUAGAAUUCCCGGUGUAGCGGUGAAAUGCGUAGAGAUCGGGAGGAAUACCAGUGGCGAAGGCGGCCUUCUGGACUGACACUGACACUGAGGUGCGAAAGCGUGGGUAGCAAACAGGAUUAGAUACCCCUGUAGUC
rnacentral:rRNA from 1 species